rnacentral:rRNA from 1 species
AAGAACUUGUUCAGAUUUGAUUUUCAACAUUGCAAUGAGUGGCGAACGGGUGAGUAACACGUGGGAAACCUACCUCUUAGCAGGGGAUAACAUUUGGAAACAAAUGCUAAUACCGUAUAAUAAUUAAAACCGCAUGGUUUUAGUUUAAAAGAUGGUCUUGCUAUCACUAAGAGAUGGUCCCGCGGUGUAUUAGUUAGUUGGUGAGGUAAUGGCUCACCAAGACAAUGAUACAUAGCCGAGUUGAGAGACUGACCGGCCACAAUGGGACUGAGACACGGCCCAUACUCCUACGGGAGGCAGCAGUAGGGAAUCUUCCACAAUGGACGAAAGUCUGAUGGAGCAACGCCGCGUGUGUGAUGAAGGGUUUCGGCUCGUAAAACACUGUUGUAAGAGAAGAAUGACAUUGAGAGUAACUGUUCAAUGUGUGACGGUAUCUUACCAGAAAGGAACGGCUAAAUACGUGCCAGCAGCCGCGGUAAUACGUAUGUUCCAAGCGUUAUCCGGAUUUAUUGGGCGUAAAGCGAGCGCAGACGGUUAUUUAAGUCUGAAGUGAAAGCCCUCGGCUCAACCGAGGAAUUGCUUUGGAAACUGGAUAACUUGAGUACAGUAGAGGAAAGUGGAACUCCAUGUGUAGCGGUGAAAUGCGUAGAUAUAUGGAAGAACACCAGUGGCGAAG